AAAUCAUAAACCCUAGUUUUAUAUACUUUGUUUUAUGAAAUGUUGUGUAUGUUUGGUGGAAGCAGUGUUAAAUCAUAAACCCUAGUUUUAUAUACUAUGUUUUAU